GUCUGAUCUCGGGCCUGGUCAUCUUCACGGUUCUUGGGUUCAUGGCCAACAGUGCUGGAGUUGGUGUUUCAGAAGUAGCAUCUUCGGGUCCAGGCCUUGCAUUCGUGGCGUACCCAGAAGGCCUGUCUCAACUUCCCCUGCCUCAACUCUGGUCCUUCCUGUUCUUCCUGAUGAUGCUGACAGUUGGAUUGGACAGUCAGUUUGCGUGGAUGGAGACGGUGAUAACCAACGUAAU